UUACAAUGGAGAGUUUGAUCCUGGCUCAGGAUGAACGCUAGCGCCAGGCUUAACACAUGCAAGUCGAGGGGUAACGGGGAAGCUUGCUUCCGCCGACGACCGGCGCACGGGUGCGUAACGCGUAUACAAUCUACCUUAUAC
rnacentral:rRNA from 1 species